rnacentral:lncRNA from 1 species
UUCAAAAAGCAUCUGUCCAUAUAUACUUACAUAAUUUAUAAUAAGCAGGCCGGGUUUUGCUUAUUCCGGUAAAAAGAGAAGAUGUUAGAAGAAGGAUCCACCUAUUUUCAGUCUUACGGGUUAUAUAUAUGUAACUUUUGCAAAUCAUGAAAAUUGAUGUUGCUUUGGUUUCUUGGAAAGAGCAAGCACGUUUUUUGUUUCAAGACACCCAAUGAAUUUCUAUGAUCUUAAAUGGAGGGGGAAGGGUUUGGGCAAGACAUAGGCCUGUGGCCCUCAUGGAAGCUCAAGU